UAUCCCGGGAAUUUUCCGCAAUGGGCGAAAGCUUGACGGAGCAAUACCGCGUGAGGGAGGAAGGCUCUUGGGUUGUAAACCUCUUUUCUCAGGGAAGAACAAAAUGACGGUACCUGAGGAAUAAGCAUCGGCUAACUCCGUGCCAGCAGCCGCGGUAAUACGGAGGAUGCAAGCGUUAUCCGGAAUCAUUGGGCGUAAAGCGUCCGCAGGUGGCAAUUCAAGUCUGCUGUCAAAGGUCAGGGCUCAACCCUGAACAGGCAGUGGAAACUGAGCAGCUAGAGUGCGGUAGGGGCAGAGGGCAUUCCCCGUGUAGAGUUGUCCGCAAU
rnacentral:rRNA from 1 species